rnacentral:lncRNA from 1 species
GGGUUUCUUCUCCCGCCUUUGAGUCCGAAGCACGCCUCCACACACAUCCGAGCUCCCAGUCUCUCUCUAGCGGCGGAAGCGACGACGGCGAUGAAAUGGGGGAUCCGGAUUCGGCUUGGGCGAGCUCGGGAGCUGCGACGACGACCUCCACGCACGACGACGACCUCAGUGACGACGGACGGCAGCGACGAGGUCGGGCGCGACGACGACGACCUCAGCGACGACGGAUGACAGCGACGAGCUCGGGCGCGGCGACGACGACCACCCCGCGGCAACGACGACCUCCCCGCGGCAACGACGACCUCGGGCAUGACGGAUCCGGCUCGGGAGAGCUCGGGCGUGGCGGAUCCGGCUCGGGCGCGGCGAUGACGACCUCGACGACAGUAGCGAGCUCGGGCGCGGCAACGAUGACCUCAGGCAUGGCGACGACGACCUCCUCGACGACGACGGUAGGCGGCGGAUCUGGUGCGAAGGACGGCGGCGGUCUCGGACGGCCGUGGCGUUGUACCGGCGGCUAGCGGCGGUGAUGGCGACCACGGGAGCAGUGGUGGCAGCGCUAGUUUUUAUUGUUUGGAAUUUUAUCUUUUUCACGAUUUUUUCUCUUUUGCAUGUGGUCCGCUUAAGCAUCUGCAUGCGAAAAAUCCAGCUGCGCUGGCCGCAUGGAAAGAUAGCCAUCUUUGCAGACGAUUUCGCCCGUGCGGCUGGCCCAACAAUAUUGUUAUGGUCCGUUUGCAAAAACUGAAUAUGUAGUAGUGCCGAUUUCGGGAGUACGCGCCGCCAGGCGAUUCGCCCUCAAGGCUACGCCCGCCCCAGCUCGAUGCCUCGCUCGCGCGUAGCCUCGUUUCUGAUGAGGUCGUGCGUUACAUCUGCGGGACGCGAGCGUGCUUGCAUGCUUUGGCGAUUUCAACCCACGUAGGAUGCACGCCAAGGUGGAUGGCCACUCGACAUGUACGCCCACUACGAGAGCCCAUAGGUCAUUCACACUGCAGACCACUUGUAUGAGUGGUCUAAUUAUGCCAUGUACAUAAAACUACUUUAGAGAUUCUCUUUUCACUGUGUAAGCUACUCUACAUGGACAUACACAAAAUUAUAUUUCAGCCCCU